rnacentral:rRNA from 1 species
AGUCGGAAAUGCCCGAAGUCAGUGACCUAACCGAAAGGGAGGAGCUGCCGAAGGUGGAGCCGGUAACUGGGGUGAAGUCGUAACAAGGUAGC